GAUGAACGCUGGCGGCGUGCCUAAUACAUGCAAGUCGAGCGAACAGACGAUGAUCUUGCUCCGCUGACGUUAGCCGCGGACGGGUGAGUAACGCGUGUAUAACCUACCUAUAAGACGGGUAUCACUUCGGGAAACCGGAUCUAAUACCGUAUAAUCUAUUGAUCCGCAUUGUUCAAUGGUGAGAGACGGUUUUGCUGUCACGUAUAGAGGGUUCCGCGCCUAAUUAUCGAGUUGGUAAGUUAACGGCUUACAACGGCAACGAUGCCUAGCCGACCGGAGAGCGUGAUCGGCCACAGUGGAGCUGAGCCACCACACAGACUCCUACGGGAGGCAGAAGCUGGGAAUCUGCGGAAAUGGGCGAAAGCCUGAAGGAGCAACGCAGCGUGAGUGAUGAAGCUCUGCGGAUCGUAAAACUCUGUUAUUAGGGAAAAACAAAUGUGUAAGUAACUAUGCACGUCUUGACGGUACGUAAUCAGAAAGCCACGCUUACCUACGU
rnacentral:rRNA from 1 species